AUUUGAUUCAUCAGGCUGCAGGAUGAGAUCAAGGGCAAGCAGCAGGAUUGUGCCUUACCCCCACUGCGAUAGCCAACACCAGCUGACCAUCAGCAUUCACACCAAGACCACUGUGGAGGAUCGAGAAUCUCGAUGGCUUCACCUUUACAAAGAUUUGAACCUUCUCACUCAGCCUAGUAUUAGUUCAUAUUUAUUGAGUCUAAGAAGAAUAAUAUACAUUUACAUUUUGAAAGUACAAUCCCAUUUAUUAAUAAUUAUCAUAACAAUUGUAAUAAGUGAUAAAUAGUUCUUACAUUUUGUCAAGCAAAAAUGCUGAACUGUGCCAUAUUUCUUUAUCAUAUUAUCACAGCAAGCUGUUUCUUUUUGGUUUUAGACUAUUGGUUGGUCAUAACACACACUCUGAAGGAAUCACUGUGGGGUCUAGGAAGUAUUGAGAGUCUAUACUGACACAUUAUUUGAUCAUUUAAUUUUAUGAACUUCAGUUAAUUGAUAUUACAGCUUAUUAUUUCAAUUGGAAAUUGUUGACAAUGUAAAAAGGUGAGUCAACAUUACCAUUGAGAACUGUAUGUUGAUGGUUACAUGUUUUUGUAAAAUUUCUGUGUGUUUGUCCAUGAUAUUUUAAAUUAGCCCCUACCUAGUUUCUUUUUUUUUUUUUUGAGAUUUGGGACAAGUCUGCUCCAUCCUUCAGUUCCACUUCCUUUGGGGCUCUACAUCACAUGACUCGGAUGGUUCAAACCACACAGCGGAUUAAAAAGAUACCAUAUGGAAUGUUUACCAUGUUUACCCUGCUGUAAAUGGUUGUUUACCCUUUUGUGAAAAAACAGUAAACACAUGUUUAAAAAAAAAAAAAAAUAUAUAUAUAUAUAUAUAUAUAUAUAUAUAUAUAUAUAUAUAUACACACACACACACACAUAUAUAUAUAUAUACAUAGUAUAAGUAUCCUUUAAGUGCUCUGAAACUGGUUCUUAUCUGAGGGUGGAUGACCAUUACACUGUAAAACUAAUUUGCAAUGCUGACAUAUUCUGAUAUUUAGCUGCGAUAUUGCCUGUAUGUACACAUUUGACCUUUUUUUGUGUUUGCAUGCUUAUAUUUGCUAAUUAGCACUAAACACAAGUAGAGGUGAGACUUUGAGGAAAGUUGUUAGUUGUGUGGGUGUUUGGUCUUUAACCAAAGUAUUGGGCAAAUAACAAUUUGCAUGAGAUAGAAAGAUCUUCAUUGACUAACUUUUUAUGCCUUAAUAAACCGGAUUAACACAUUGUUGACUGAAUAAACAAACUGACCUUAAAGGACAACAGAAUUUCAUUUGCAUUUUUUUCAUCUUGUUGUGGGGAACUAAUUUUCCUCGGAGAACAGCUUGUCUAUUCAGUUUUGGAAAAAAAGAAAUUUGUGAACUCAUUAAUAUUCAGAUAUCAGAUACAUAUCAGACAUGCUUCUGUCUGCCACAGGCUGACAAGGACACUCUUGUUUCACUAAGAAAUGUUCUGUUAAAUUGGACUUUUUAUGAUCUACAAGUUUGACUUGAGUUUCAAGGAUAUAAAAAGGGUCCUGUAAAGCUACACCCACUAUGUUUAUCAAUGGUAUUUUGACUGUGUGAAGAUGAUAAAGCUGCAGCAAGAAACAUAAAAUGUUUGACGUCAGAUUCUUCUGAUAAGAAAACUGGAUUCCAGAAACAAUAAAGACCCAUUAUGUACACUGUUGGUCAUCAUCUUUAUCCCUCACCUUCAUUUAUACCAAAAGAGGCACCAGCUGGUAUAAAGCAGUUUAUUUUGUUUUUGUUCAGUUGUUGAGCAUUAAGAAGUGACAACAAUCAUCAAUUCAGCUUCUCUAUAUCCUAAACUUACAUGUGUUUACAAACUCACAGAUUUUUCAGCAACAAAUGUUUUUUAAUUUGACAAAAAGUUGUUAUCGAUUUCCUUAUCAGUUACUGGUUUUGAUUUCUGAGGAAAGAAAAGGACACAAAGCAAAGCUCAUUUCAGGGUUGUUCUAUGAAGUACAAUGAAGUGACUCAGAUGACAGAAACGCAAACAAGGAAAUAUCUUAAACUGUCAGCGUUGGCUUGCAACAGAAUGAGUCAUGGUCAGAUAAGAAAAGGCUAUGAUCAGGGUUUAGGGUGUGAUGAUGCGAAUAAAUGUAACAGAGGGAAAAAAAAAAAACAUUUCACAACAAAACUCAACAUAUCUACUCAAGUUACCACCUGAUUAAGAUGAAGUUCUGUCCAGUCAAGUCAAGUAUAUUUCUACAGCACGUUUAAAA